rnacentral:tRNA from 1 species
AAUAUCAGCUUUGGGUGCUGGUGAUGGGGUAGUUACCUCUUCCUUGA